AUGACAAAAUGUAAACAGAUCAGAAAGCUUGAUAGGAUCCAUGAAACAUAUGCAGGGGACUCGCAUGUCAGGCUCCGUAGUCUUGCCAUGGAUAAGGCAGUCAAGUUCAAGAAGGAUUGGCUGGUGCUGCCGGCUAGCGUCAAGUUCGAUCCCACAGAUCAGGAGUUGAUCGAGCACCUUGAGGCCAAAGUGAGUGCUGACAGCACAAGAUCUCACCCUCUCAUUGAUCUGUUCAUACCAACCAUCGAUAGCGAGCACGGCAUAUGCUACAUGCAUCCUGAGAAACUUCCAGGUAUCACACUGAGUGGCCUAAGCAAGCAUUUCUUCCAGCGCAACUCUAGGGCGUUCAAAAGGGGCACAUGGAUGCAUAGAAAGAUACAGUCUGAGUGCAGCAUGCACGCGAUGUGGCACAAGACCGGUAAUACCUUGCCGGUGAUGGUCAACACCUGGCAGACGGGCAGCAAAAAGGUUUUGGUGCUAUACACCAAAAAGAACUUUGACCAGCAGAGGACCAACUGGGUGAUGCAUCAGUACCACCUCGCGACCUGGAGCAAGAGAAGGAGUGGAAGCUGGUCCUCUGAAGAUUUUCUACCAGACAAACACUAG
rnacentral:rRNA from 1 species